rnacentral:rRNA from 1 species
CACGUAGGGGGCGAGCGUUGUCCGGAAUCAUUGGGCGUAAAGAGCUCGUAGGCGGCUCAGUAAGUCGGGUGUGAAACCCUCAGGCUCAACCUGGGGACGCCACCCGAUACUGCUGUGGCUAGAGUCCAGUAGGGGAGUGUGGAAUUCCCGGUGUAGCGGUGAAAUGCGCAGAUAUCGGGAGGAACACCAGCGGCGAAGGCGGCACUCUGGGCUGGUACUGACGCUGAGGUGCGAAAGCGUGGGGAGCAAACAGGG